AUGGCAUGUUGUGACAUUUAUGUUAAACUCAGUGGUAUAUAGUGAAUUACGCAUUAACUCAGUGAUUUUUGGUGAAAAAUUCGAUUUUUUUUUUUUUUUUAAAGAAAGUUAAUAUUAUGAAACUUUAUGUUAAUAUUAUUUGAAAAUAUAUUUCAUGAUGAUAAAUUUUGUUUUUUUUUUUUUAUACAUUAUUAGUCAUUAUUAGUUAGUACGGAGUAAGAGAAAGUCAAACAUUUCAAUUUAGGAGUAAAAAUCUUUGUGCUAGCACCAUGUAAGAAUUACCCCAUGAGUAUUCAUUAUUCAGCAUUCCAUAUGACUUCAUUUUGAAAACGAAAUGUUGAAAUUUGGGUUUAGCUCCAAUGGCUUCCGAUGCCUCUACAACUACUUCUUCCUGCCUGGUUUUCGACGCAUUUCAACAUCUUCUUCAUCAAAUGGAGGUAAUACUUCUUCUUCAUCUUCUUCAUUUGCGAAUUUCUUGGUUGAAAAUCUGGGGUUUUCCAACCACCAAUCUCUCUCUACUUCCGCUACACUCGCUAGUCGCCGGAGAGUUAGUGGGGCGAAGCUGGCUAUUGAUUGGGUUGAAAAGGCUGAAUCUGUUAUUCAUUUUCUUAAGCAAAUUGGUUUUCAGCAAUCUGAUAUUAGGAAAAUUGUAUCUGAUGAACCCCGGAUUUUACUUUCUAGGGUUAGCCAAACCCUAAAACCCAAAAUUAAGCUUCUUAAUGAUCUGGGUUUAUCUGGGUCUGAUCUUGUUCAAGCUGUUGUUAGACAUCCUGUAAUAUUGCGCCAACGUUUAGGUCCUGCAAUUCAUGCUUUUAGGACUGUUCUGGGUAGUGAUGAGAAUGUUGUUCGGGCGAUAAAUAAUUCGCAUUGGAUUCAAUUUAGCAAAGCUGCUAAUAAUUUGAUUCCGAAUGUUGAGUUGUUGCAAAGUUAUAGUGGAAUUUCUGGUGAAAAAAUUCAGAAACACAUUAUUCGGCACCCUAGUUUGUACUGUAUGACGACAGAUUUGUUUCGAAAAAUCUUGACUAGGGUUGAAAAUAAGUUGGGAAUACCUCCAAAUUCUGUCAUGUUAUUUUAUGGAAUAAAAUGUGUUGCUCAAUUAAGUGAUCAGAGUAUCGACGAUAAAUGUGAAAUUUUUAAGAGCUUUGGAUGGACUCAAUCUGAUGUCAUGGAAUUGAUCAGGCGAAAUCCUUUGUGCUUGACAUCAACAGAGGAAAAGCUCAAGGAAAAAUUGGAUUUUCUGAUAAACCAGCUGGGUUAUAAGCCAGAUUACCUAGCAUUCCAGGCGUCGUUUUUCACUUACAGCAUAGAGAAGAGGUUAUUGCCAAGACACCAAGUCUUACAGGUUUUGAAGGAGAAAGGGCUGAUAAAAGAGCAUCACCUUCUUUCUAGUGCCUCCAUCUUGACUGAGGCUAACUUUUUGAAAAAGUUUAUUUUUCCUUUUGAGGAAAUCCAUGAAGUUUAUGCUCAGCUUACAGGCUCCACAGUUGAAUCACUCGGUGCAGGAAGAGUAAAAGGCCACAUCUGAAUUCUGAAGAUGUCAUCGAGUUCGUUCUAAUGCUGCUAGAUGCAAAUCAGUGCCAUAAGGUAUUAGGCCUGGUUAAAUUUUAGAUUUUUUUUUUUUUUCACAUAACAUCUAUCAAUAUUCUCUCAGUAUCAUUUCCUUGUCCGUGUUACAGUCAUUAAUUAUGUAUGUUGGAAACAAACUCGUACGGUUGCUAUUAACUUAUUGUUAGACAUUUUUAGUUGGGAAGGUUUAAUUAGCCUAUUUUCAACUAAUGGCGUCAAUACAUGUCCCUUUCUGUUAAAUUUUUGUGAUAAUUUACACAUUUUUAUAAAUAAUGAAGAAGUUUGUAUCAUUUGCCCCAAAAAUAUGGCAACACACAAGCAUUAAGAAAAAAGGUAAUGUUUGGGAUCUCUACGGAACAAAAAGAUUGCAUAAUAGGCUUGAUAGCUCAUGGGAAAAUAGGCACAAACAGGAGUGGUGCAAAGUGGACUGCAGACUACAGCACGAGAAUUGAGCAUGAUGCUUGGGUACUUUUAGUAUUUCUAACAGUGUCUAGGAAGCUGAGGCAAAUGCCUGCAUCGAAGCUCUAAAUUGGAGCCGAGGAAUAGGGUUUCUUAGAAUUUUAGUCUACUCUAAGUCUCUGACUCCAGUAAAUUAGUCUCCAUUCUACGUAGCCUUCACACAUGGGAUAUGUCUAUUCACUGGAUUAUUGGGGCAAUCAACCAGCAACCGGUUUGGGACAAAUAUUCAGGUUUGCAAUAUUCGAUAAGUUGAGAGAUCUAAUAGCUAACAAUUGUCGUGCUUGUUUCGCUCUGCUGUCUGCACACUCUACCCAAUCAUCAAGCAUUUUUGGGGCUCCAAUGAAAUUAGGCCCCAGAGAACAUGGAAACCUUCGACAUCUGAGCAAGGGCUUGCAGCUAUCACCUAGGCACCCUCCUGGGUUUAUUCAUGCAUAGUUUGUAUUCAACCACCCAAAGGAAAGAAGAAGCACAUAUCAAGAUGCACUUGCACUGUCUGCAUCACUAUAAAAUGCCACUUCACGAGGAAAAGGAAUUGACAGUCAGAACAGGAAGUGGAGACUACAAAAAAGAUGUAAAUGCUGAUGCAGAAAAUAGUGACAGUUCUCACCUUAGUUAUGCCUCACAGAUGAAUCCAACUCAAUCUAAAGAUGGCCGAGGUCUAAAUCUGAUUAGCUUACCAUCGGAAAAAAGGAAUAGUUAUGCUUAUGCAAUUGUAAAGUUGUCUUGUUUGUGCAUCGUCUUGUAAUGUUGUAUUAGUCGCGCAUUCAAGCGCAAGUAUUGUUUGGAAUAUGAAAUUCAAGACAACAAGAAUAACAAAUAAAAAUAAAGAACUUUAUUUUCUUAGUUCCAUUAUAUUAUCAUGAGAUAAAGUUUUAAUAUUA